rnacentral:rRNA from 1 species
CCCGCUGAACUUAAGCAUAUCAAUAAGCGGAGGAAAAGAAACUAACAAGGAUUCCCCUAGUAACGGCGAGUGAAGAGGGAAAAGCUCAAAUUUUGAAUCUGGUGUCUUUGGCGCCCGAGUUGUAAUCUAGAGAAGUGUUUUCCGUGUCGGACCGUGCACAAGUCCCCUGGAACGGGGUGUCAUAGAGGGUGAGAAUCCCGUAUAUGGCACGGACUGCCGAUGCUCUGUGAUACACUCUCAACGAGUCGAGUUGUUUGGGAAUGCAGCUCAAAAUGGGUGGUAAAUUCCAUCUAAAGCUAAAUAUUGGCGAGAGACCGAUAGCGAACAAGUACCGUGAGGGAAAGAUGAAAAGCACUUUGGAAAGAGAGUGAAACAGUACGUGAAAUUGUUGAAAGGGAAGCGUUUGAAGUCAGUCGUAUCUGUCGGGAUUCAGCUUGGCUUCUGCCUGGUGUACUUUCCGUCCGAUGGGUCAGCAUCAAUUCAGACCGAGGGAAAAAGAUGUUGGGAAUGUGGCUGUCUUCGGGCAGUGUUAUAGCCCGGUGUUGUAUGCCUCGGUUGGGAUUGAGGAUCGCAGCGCGCCUAUAGGCCAGGGGCUAACGCCUCUUGACACGCGCUUAGGAUGCUGGCAUAAUGGCUUUAAGCGACCCGUCUUGAAACACGGACCAAGGAGUCUAACAUGUGCGCGAGUGUUUGGGUGUCAAACCCGAGCGCGUAAUGAAAGUGAAAGGUCGGGAUCCUUCAUUGGUGCACCGACGCCCGGAGCAGACCUUCUGUGACGCAUCCGCGGUAGAGCGUAUAUGUUGGGACCCGAAAGAUGGUGAACUAUGCCUGAAUAGGGUGAAGCCAGAGGAAACUCUGGUGGAGGCUCGUAGCGAUUCUGACGUGCAAAUCGAUCGUCAAAUUUGGGUAUAGGGGCGAAAGA